GAUGAACGCUGGCGGCGUGCCUAAUACAUGCAAGUCGAGCGAAUGGAUUGAGAGCUUGCUCUUAUGAAGUUAGCGGCGGACGGGUGAGUAACACGUGGGUAACCUGCCCAUAAGACUGGGAUAACUCCGGGAAACCGGGGCUAAUACCGGAUAACAUUUUGAACCGCAUGGUUCGAAAUUGAAAGGCGGCUUCGGCUGUCACUUAUGGAUGGACCCGCGUCGCAUUAGCUAGUUGGUGAGGUAACGGCUCACCAAGGCAACGAUGCGUAGCCGACCGGAGAGGGGUAUCGGCCACACGGGGACUGGGACACGGCCCAGAGUCCUACGGGAGGCAGAAGUAGGGAAUCUUCCGCAAUGGACGAAAGUCUGACGGAGCAACGCCGCGUGGGUGAUGAAGGCUUUCGGGUCGUAAAACUCUGUUGUUAGGGAAGAACAAGUGCUAGUUGAAUAAGCUGGCACCUUGACGGUACCUAACCAGAAAGCCACGGCUAACUACGUGCCAGCCGCCGCCGUAA
rnacentral:rRNA from 1 species